rnacentral:rRNA from 1 species
GGGUUGUGAGGUUAAGCGACUAAGCGUACACGGUGGAUGCCCUGGCAGUCAGAGGCGAUGAAGGACGUGCUAAUCUGCGAUAAGCGCCGGUAAGGUGAUAUGAACCGUUAUAACCGGCGAUUUCCGAAUGGGGAAACCCAGUGUGAUUCGUCACACUAUCAUUAACUGAAUCCAUAGGUUAAUGAGGCGAACCGGGGGAACUGAAACAUCUAAGUACCCCGAGGAAAAGAAAUCAACCGAGAUUCCCCCAGUAGCGGCGAGCGAACGGGGAGGAGCCCAGAGCCUGAAUCAGCAUGUGUGUUAGUGGAAGCGUCUGGAAAGGCGCGCGAUACAGGGUGACAGCCCCGUACACAAAAGCGCAUGUGCUGUGAGCUCGAUGAGUAGGGCGGGACACGUGGUAUCCUGUCUGAAUAUGGGGGGACCAUCCUCCAAGGCUAAAUACUCCUGACUGACCGAUAGUGAACCAGUACCGUGAGGGAAAGGCGAAAAGAACCCCGGCGAGGGGAGUGAAAAAGAACCUGAAACCGUGUACGUACAAGCAGUGGGAGCCCCACCACUAAGCCAGUGGUGAACUCCACAUACGCAUCCUUUGCUGAGGAUACGGUUAACGGAGCGAAAGCGACGUUCAACCGCAAAAGAAGCAGAGGGGCUUAGUGGUGGGGUGACUGCGUACCUUUUGUAUAAUGGGUCAGCGACUUAUAUUCUGUAGCAAGGUUAACCGAAUAGGGGAGCCGGAGGGAAACCGAGUCUUAAUUGGGCGUUAAGUUGCAGGGUAUAGACCCGAAACCCGGUGAUCUAGCCAUGGGCAGGUUGAAGGUUGGGUAACACUAACUGGAGGACCGAACCGACUAAUGUUGAAAAAUUAGCGGAUGACCUGUGGCUGGGGGUGAAAGGCCAAUCAAACCGGGAGAUAGCUGGUUCUCCCCGAAAGCUAUUUAGGUAGCGCCUCGUGAAUUCAUCUCCGGGGUAGAGCACUGUUUCGGCUAGGGGGCCAUCCCGGCUUACCAACCCGAUGCAAACUGCGAAUACCGGAGAAUGUUAUCACGGGAGACACACGGCGGGUGCUAACGUCCGUCGUGAAGAGGGAAACAACCCAGACCGCCAGCUAAGGUCCCAAAGUCAUGGUUAAGUGGGAAACGAUGUGGGAAGGCCCAGACAGCCAGGAUGUUGGCUUAGAAGCAGCCAUCAUUUAAAGAAAGCGUAAUAGCUCACUGGUCGAGUCGGCCUGCGCGGAAGAUGUAACGGGGCUAAACCAUGCACCGAAGCUGCGGCAGCGACACUGUGUGUUGUUGGGUAGGGGAGCGUUCUGUAAGCCUGUGAAGGUGUGUCGUGAGGCAUGCUGGAGGUAUCAGAAGUGCGAAUGCUGACAUAAGUAACGAUAAAGCGGGUGAAAAGCCCGCUCGCCGGAAGACCAAGGGUUCCUGUCCAACGUUAAUCGGGGCAGGGUGAGUCGACCCCUAAGGCGAGGCCGAAAGGCGUAGUCGAUGGGAAACGGGUUAAUAUUCCCGUACUUGGUGUUACUGCGAAGGGGGGACGGAGAAGGCUAUGUUGGCCGGGCGACGGUUGUCCCGGUUUAAGCGUGUAGGUGUGUGUUCCAGGUAAAUCCGGUUCACUUUAACACUGAGGCGUGACGACGAGGCACUACGGUGCUGAAGCAACAAAUGCCCUGCUUCCAGGAAAAGCCUCUAAGCAUCAGGUAACAUCAAAUCGUACCCCAAACCGACACAGGUGGUCAGGUAGAGAAUACCAAGGCGCUUGAGAGAACUCGGGUGAAGGAACUAGGCAAAAUGGUGCCGUAACUUCGGGAGAAGGCACGCUGACAUGUAGGUGAAGUGAUUUACUCAUGGAGCUGAAGUCAGUCGAAGAUACCAGCUGGCUGCAACUGUUUAUUAAAAACACAGCACUGUGCAAACACGAAAGUGGACGUAUACGGUGUGACGCCUGCCCGGUGCCGGAAGGUUAAUUGAUGGGGUCAGCGCAAGCGAAGCUCCUGAUCGAAGCCCCGGUAAACGGCGGCCGUAACUAUAACGGUCCUAAGGUAGCGAAAUUCCUUGUCGGGUAAGUUCCGACCUGCACGAAUGGCGUAAUGAUGGCCAGGCUGUCUCCACCCGAGACUCAGUGAAAUUGAACUCGCUGUGAAGAUGCAGUGUACCCGCGGCAAGACGGAAAGACCCCGUGAACCUUUACUAUAGCUUGACACUGAACAUUGAGCCUUGAUGUGUAGGAUAGGUGGGAGGCUUUGAAGUGUGGACGCCAGUCUGCAUGGAGCCGACCUUGAAAUACCACCCUUUAAUGUUUGAUGUUCUAACGUGGACCCGUUACCCGGGUUGCGGACAGUGUCUGGUGGGUAGUUUGACUGGGGCGGUCUCCUCCUAAAGAGUAACGGAGGAGCACGAAGGUUGGCUAAUCCUGGUCGGACAUCAGGAGGUUAGUGCAAUGGCAUAAGCCAGCUUGACUGCGAGCGUGACGGCGCGAGCAGGUGCGAAAGCAGGUCAUAGUGAUCCGGUGGUUCUGAAUGGAAGGGCCAUCGCUCAACGGAUAAAAGGUACUCCGGGGAUAACAGGCUGAUACCGCCCAAGAGUUCAUAUCGACGGCGGUGUUUGGCACCUCGAUGUCGGCUCAUCACAUCCUGGGGCUGAAGUAGGUCCCAAGGGUAUGGCUGUUCGCCAUUUAAAGUGGUACGCGAGCUGGGUUUAGAACGUCGUGAGACAGUUCGGUCCCUAUCUGCCGUGGGCGCUGGAGAACUGAGGGGGGCUGCUCCUAGUACGAGAGGACCGGAGUGGACGCAUCACUGGUGUUCGGGUUGUCAUGCCAAUGGCACUGCCCGGUAGCUAAAUGCGGAAGAGAUAAGUGCUGAAAGCAUCUAAGCACGAAACUUGCCCCGAGAUGAGUUCUCCCUGAGACUUAGAGUCUCCUGAAGGAACGUUGAAGACGACGACGUUGAUAGGCCGGGUGUGUAAGCGCAGCGAUGCGUUGAGCUAACCGGUACUAAUGAACCGUGAGGCUUAACCUUACAACGCCGAAG